rnacentral:rRNA from 1 species
AACGUAGGAGACAAACGUUAUCCGGAGUUACUGGGCGUAAAGGGCGUGUAGGUGGUUUCGUAAGUCUGGCGUGAAAUUUUUCGGCUUAACCGGGAAAGGUCGUCGGAUACUGCGGAACUAGAGGACGGUAGAGGCGUGUGGAAUUCCUGGUGUAGCGGUGGAAUGCGCAGAUAUCAGGAGGAACACCGGUGGCGAAGGCGGUUCUCUGGGCAUUACCUGACGCUGAGGAGCGAAAGCAUGGGGAGCGAACAGG